GGCCGCAUUCCGCAACGGUAGCGCGUCAGAUUCCAGAAAUUGGAACUUCCUGAAGGCUCUCUGUUCGAAUCAGGGUGUGGUCA